rnacentral:rRNA from 1 species
CCCGUGAACCUUUACUAUAGCUUGACACUGAACAUUGAGCCUUGAUGUGUAGGAUAGGUGGGAGGCUUUGAAGUGUGGACGCCAGUCUGCAUGGAGCCGGCCUUGAAAUACCACCCUUUAAUGUUUGAUGUUCUAACGUUGACCCGUGAUCCGGGUUGCGGACAGUGUCUGGUGGGUAGUUUGACUGGGGCGGUCUCCUCCUAAAGAGUAACGGAGGAGCACGAAGGUUGGCUAAUCCUGGUCGGACAUCAGGAGGUUAGUGCAAUGGCAUAAGCCAGCUUGACUGCGAGCGUGACGGCGCGAGCAGGUGCGAAAGCAGGUCAUAGUGAUCCGGUGGUUCUGAAUGGAAGGGCCAUCGCUCAACGGAUAAAAGGUACUCCGGGGAUAACAGGCUGAUACCGCCCAAGAGUUCAUAUCGACGGCGGUGUUUGGCACCUCGAUGUCGGCUCAUCACAUCCUGGGGCUGAAGUAGGUCCCAAGGGUAUGGCUGUUCGCCAUUUAAAGUGGUACGCGAGCUGGGUUUAGAACGUCGUGAGACAGUUCGGUCCCUAUCUGCCGUGGGCGCUGGAGAACUGAGGGGGGCUGCUCCUAGUACGAGAGGACCGGAGUGGACGCAUCACUGGUGUUCGGGUUGUCAUGCCAAUGGCACUGCCCGGUAGCUAAAUGCGGAAGAGAUAAGUGCUGAAAGCAUCUAAGCACGAAACUUGCCCCGAGAUGAGUUCUCCCUGACUCCUUGAGAGUCCUGAAGGAACGUUGAAGACGACGACGUUGAUAGGCCGGGUGUGUAAGCGCAGCGAUGCGUUGAGCUAACCGGUACUAAUGAACCGUGAGG